GUGGUGGUGUUAGUUUAACUGGUGGUGGUGUUAGUUUAGCUGGUGGUGGUGUUAGUUUAGCUGGUGGUGGUGUUAGUUUAACUGGUGGUGGUGUUAGUUUAACUGGUGGUGGUGUUAGUUUAACUGGUGAUGGUGUUAGUUUAACUGGUGGUGGUUUUAGUUUAACUGGUGGUGGUGUUAGUUUAGCUGGUGGUGGUGUUAGUUUAGCUGGUGGUGGUGUUAGUUUAGCUGAUGGUGUUAGUUUAGCUGGUGGUGUUAGUUUAGCUGGUGUUGUUAGUUUAGCUGGUGGUGUUAGUUUAACUGGUGGUGGUUUUAGUUCAGCUGAUGGUGUUAGUUUAGCUGGUGGUGUUAGUUUAGCUGGUGUUGUUAGUUUAGCUGGUGGUGUUAGUUUAGCAGGUGGUGGUGUUAGUUUAGCUGGUGGUGUUAGUUUAACUGAUGGUGGUGUUUGUUUAACUGAUGGUGGUGUUAGUUUAACUGGUGGUGGUGUUAGUUUAGCUGGUGGUGGUGUUAGUUUAGCUGGUGGUGGUGUUAGUUUAGCUGGUGGUGGUGUUAGUUUAGCUGGUGGUGGUGUUAGUUUAACUGGUGGUGGUGUUAGUUUAGCUGGUGGUGGUGUUAGUUUAACUGGUGGUGGUGUUAGUUUAGCUGGUGGUGGUGUUAGUUUAGCUGGUGGUGUUAGUUUAGCUGGUGGUGUUAGUUUAGCUGGUGGUGUUAGUUUAGCUGGUGGUGUUAGUUUAACUGGUGGUGGUGUUAGUUUAGCUGGUGGUGUUAGUUUAGCUGGUGGUGUUAGUUUAGCUGGUGGUGUUAGUUUAACUGGUGUUAGUUUAGCUGGUGGUGGUGUUAAUUUAACUGGUGUUGGUGUUAGUUUAGCUGUUGGUGGUGUUAGUUUAGCUGGUGGUGGUGGUAGUUUAGCUGGUGGUGUUAGUAUAGCUGGUGGUGGUGUUAGUUUAACUGCUGGUGGUGUUAGUUUAGCUGGUGGUGGUGUUAGUUUAGCUGGUGGUGGUGUUAGUUUAGCUGGUGGUGGUGUUAGUUUAGCUGGUGGUGUUAGUUUAACUGGUGGUGGUGUUAGUUUAGCUGGUGGUGGUGUUAGUUUAGCUGGUGGUGGUGUUAGUUUAGCUGGUGGUGUUAGUUUAACUGGUGGUGGUGUUAGUUUAACUGAUGGUGUUAGUUUAACUGGUGGUGUUAGUUUAGCUGGUGGUGGUGUUAGUUUAGCUGGUGGUGUUAGUUUAACUGGUGGUGGUGUUAGUUUAGCUGGUGGUGUUAGUUUUGCUGGUGGUGUUAGUUUAACUGGUGUUAGUUUAGCUGGUGGUGGUGUUAAUUUAACUGGUGUUGGUGUUAGUUUAGCUGUUGGUGGUGUUAGUUUAGCUGGUGGUGGUGGUAGUUUAGCUGGUGGUGUUAGUAUAGCUGGUGGUGGUGUUAGUUUAACUGGUGGUGGUGUUAGUUUAGCUGGUGGUGGUGUUAGUUUAGCUGGUGGUGUUAGUUUAGCUGGUGGUGGUGUUAGUUUAGCUGGUGGUGGUGUUAGUUUAACUGGUGGUGGUGUUAGUUUAACUGGUGGUGGUGUUAGUUUAACUGGUGGUGGUGUUAGUUUAACUGGUGGUGGUGUUAGUUUAACUGGUGGUGGUGUUAGUUUAGCUGGUGGUGUUAUUAGUUUAGCUGGUGGUGUUAUUAGUUUAACUGGUGGUGGUGUUAGUUUAGCUGGUGGUGCAGUUUGUUUAGCUGGUGGUGCAGUUUGUUUAGCUGGUGGUGUUAGUUUAGCUGGUGGUGUUAUUCAUUUAGCUGUUGUUAGUUUAGUAGUGGUCUACAUACAGUAAUGGGUGCCCAGUAGGCUGGUCAAAGUAGCUGGUGGUGUUAGUUUAACUGGUGGUGUUAGUUUAACUGGUGUUAGUUUAGCUGGUGGUGGUGUUAGUUCAGCUGGUGGUGGUGUUAGUUUAACUGGUGGUGGUGUUAGUUUAUCUGGUGGUGGUGUUAGUUUAGCUGGUGGUGGUGUUAGUUUAGCUGGUGGUGUUAGUUUAACUGCUGGUGGUGUUAGUUUAACUGGUGGUGGUGUUAGUUUAGCUGGUGGUGUUAGUUUAACUGGUGGUGUUAGUUUAGCUGGUGGUGUUAGUUUAGCUGGUGGUGGUGUUAGUUUAGCUGGUGGUGGUGUUAGUUUAGCUGGUGGUGUUAGUUUAACUGGUGGUGG
rnacentral:lncRNA from 1 species